UGGCAUUUGAACAUGUAAAGUGACACUAGAGUUAGUGUGAGGCAAGGAACUAAUGCGAGGUAAAGAAUGAUAUUAAUCAGUAAAGCUAAUGUAAAGUGGGCAUAAAGAACGUGUAAAGUUAAAGAAUGUGAAAGCUAAAGAUAGCCUAAUGUAAAGUAGCGAUAAGAAUGUGAUUGCUAGAGUUAGUAAAAGUAAAAGAAAUGCAAAGAGCAAUGAUUGCUAGAGUGGCAACAUAAAGUGAUGUAAUGAACACUAGAGUUAGUGUAAAGUCAAGAUUGA
rnacentral:lncRNA from 1 species